rnacentral:misc_RNA from 1 species
GAUGAAGAACGUAGCGAAAUGCGAUAAGUAAUGUGAAUUGCAGAAUUCAGUGAAUCAUCGAAUCUUUGAACGCACAUUGCGCCCGCCAGUAUUCUGGCGGGCAUGCCUGUCUGAGCGUCAUUUCAACCCUCAUGCCCCUAGGGCGUGGUGUUGGGGAUCGGCCAAAGCCCGCGAGGGACGGCCGGCCCCUAAAUCUAGUGGCGGACCCGUCUUGGCCUCCUCUGCGAAGUAGUGAUAUUCCGCAUCGGAGAGCGACGAGCCCCUGCCGUUAAACCCCCAACUUUCCAAGGUUGACCUCAGAUCAGGUAGGAAUACCCGCUGAACUUAAGCAUAUCAAUAAGCGGAGGA